rnacentral:rRNA from 1 species
AUUGAACGCUGGCGGCAGGCCUAACACAUGCAAGUCGAGCGAGCGGCGGACGGGUGAGUAAUGUCUGGGAAACUGCCUGUUGGUGGGGGAUAACUACUGUAAACGGUAGCUAAUACCGCAUACCAUCAGAUGUGCCCAGAUGGGAUUAGCUAGUAGGUUGGGUAACGGCUCACCUAGGCGACGAUCCCUAGCUGGUCUGAGAGGAUGACCAGCUACACUGGAACUGAGACACGGUCCAGACUCCUACGGGAGGCAGCAGGUGGGAAUAUUGCACAAGGGGCGCAGGCCUGAUACAGCCAUGCGGCGUCUGUGAAGAAGGCCUACGGGUUGUAAAGCACUUUCAGCGGGGAGGCGUUACCCGCAGAAGAAGCACCGGCUAACUCCGUGCCAGCAGCCGCGGUAAUAC